AGAGGGCCCUUUGAACACCCACCUGGCAGGAUGAGCACUUUGUCACUGGAGCUCAGGGCAGAGCCAUCCUUGUACCAGCUUCCCAUUCCCUGUAAGGCUUUUGGAAACUAGGAGGGACUACAACAAAGGAGAAGAAAAAUGGUCACAUUUUGCAGCAGAAAUGUUACCCAGGAAAAUUCUAGUUCUUCUCAUCAGAAUGAACAACUGAGCAAUCUACUGAGCAUUUUCUCAAGACUAAUAAAUAACAGUGUAAGAAGACCUGCUACCAAACCCAGAGGACAUCAAUCAACAACACCACUGAAACAAUAAGAGUGUGUAGGCCAAUGGAAUGCUGAUGUCUGGGGCCUCUAAAUACUACUCAGUAGAGAGAAAUAAAACAUGAUGUCUUAGUUUGAGUUAAACAAAAACCUUUUCUUGUUAUUAGAGGAAGACCAGAGUUGUUAUGUCAUUCCACUGACUUCUGAAAAGCUCCAUUUUUCACAACAUAUAAAAGAAUAAUCAAAUACUGUAUAAAGAUCAGCAAAAUAUACGUGAAAUAAAAAUCACAGAAAAGACAAAAGUAUUGGAUUAGACCAAACGGGGGUGAAGGAUAUAAAACUAUAAAUUCCAACAUCUCAGGAGAUUAGAAAAGGAGGUUAGCAGAAGAAUUUGAUUCUCUUUUCACCUUGUAU